rnacentral:rRNA from 1 species
ACUCCUCGGGAGGCAGCAGUGGGAAUAUUGCACAAUGGGGGAAACCCUGAUGCAGCCAUGCCGCGUGUGUGAAGAAGGCCUUCGGGUUGUAAAGCACUUUCAGUAGGGAGGAAGGGAUAGUGUAGUUAACAUACCUUGCAUUACUUUGACGUUUACCUUACAGAAGAAGCACCGGCUAACUCCGUGCCAGCAGCCGCGGUAAUACGGAGGGUGCGAGCGUUAAUCGGAAUUACUGGGCGUAAAGCGCAUGCAGGCGGCCUGUUAAGUCAGAUGUGAAAGCCCGGGGCUUAACCUCGGAAUUGCAUUUGAAACUGGCAGGCCAGAGUCUUGUAGAGGGGGGUAGAAUUUCAGGUGUAGCGGUGAAAUGCGUAGAGAUCUGAAGGAAUACCAGUGGC